GGGGUAGUAAAGGUUUCGACAGGGGUUUUGAAACUGGAGAAGCUAUCCGUUGCGACACGUUAAUCGCAAACUUAAAUUAAACGCUGAUAAUAGAUUAGCAAUCGCUGCCUAAUCGCAGCUGUUCUACCUUGGGCACUCACACUCAAGGCUAGGGCAUCGACUAUGUGAGAAACGACACGCAGUAAGCUUUGCCUGUGUGGGCGUAAUAUGAAGCUACCAAACGGGAAAGUUUGUUCCUUGACUUUCUCGAAAGGGAACAAGGGAGAGAGAGCCUCCCAAAAACAAGGAACUAUGAUAGUAGAAGUACAGCGAAUGGGCUUUUGGACAGGGGUUCGACUCCCCUCUACUCCA
rnacentral:tmRNA from 1 species